AUUGAACGCUGGCGGCAUGCUUUACACAUGCAAGUCGAACGGUAACAGGGUGCUUGCACCGCUGACGAGUGGCGAACGGGUGAGUAAUGCGUCGGAACGUGCCGAGUAGUGGGGGAUAACGCAGCGAAAGUUGUGCUAAUACCGCAUACGUACUGAGGUAGAAAGUGGGGGACCUUCGGGCCUCACGCUAUUCGAGCGGCCGACGUCUGAUUAGCUAGUAGGUGAGGUAAUGGCUCACCAAGGCUUCGAUCAGUAGCCGGUCUGAGAGGACGGUCGGCCACACUGGAACUGAGACAUGGUCCAGACUCCUACGGGAGGCAGCAGUGGGGAAUUUUUCGCAAUGGGGGCAACCCUGACGAAGCAAUGCCGCGUGGAUGAUGAAGUCUCUUGGGACGUAAAAUCCUUUCGACAGGGACGAAACCGCAAGGUUGACGGUACCUGUAGAAGAAGCCCCGGCUAACUCCGUGCCAGCCGCCGCCGUAA
rnacentral:rRNA from 1 species